rnacentral:snRNA from 1 species
AUACUUACCUGGCACUGGGAACGCCUUGAUGAACAAAGAGGCUUCCCGAGCAGAGGGCUCCCGUUGCACAGCGAGAGGUUGACGUUCGCUACACUCGCCGUAAAUUGGGCAAUUAUUUCCUAGCGUACAUGGAGUAGCAUCAGAUGCCAAUGGA